AGGCUCUCCAUGCUGACACCUACCAGGGCCCCUGACCUUCUUUGGACAUUGGAACAGGUCUCCAGAGAAAACAGAAUAAUGACUGUGUGUGUUCUCCAGGAUAAUGUCUCUAUCAGGAACCCUAUAUGGAACCCUGUAUUCUCCCUCAAAAGCUGCCCUGCACGGCUCAGAAAAAGAACCUCCUUAAUGCUGCUUGGAAGYUGAUCUCUGCCUUCAUCCCUCCAUCCCAGAGCCACAGUCAAUGGGCAGUGCUGGGAUCCACUUUCUCUCCCUUCCAGUGCUCCAGCUGGCAACAGGAUUUUAAGGGUGACCAGUGUCCAACCUUGCCAUGGAGGUCAAUGGAAGUUUAUUUGUCAACUUCAUGCACAGGAUUUCAACGUGUCUAUGAUUAGUGAUGAAAUGAAAUUCACAGCUUGGAGUCAUUUAUCCAGCAUAUCCAAUCAAACACAAACAUCCUUUGUGCUUGGAAAUGAAUGGGGGCUGGAGGCAGCUAGCCUUUGUGACAGAUUAAUGAGCUGAGAACGAGCUGCCACCUCCCACCCCCAUCAUCAAGCGACUUUGCAGUCGGAGGAGAGGGACGCUGAGCUAGAGGUGAAGGAUAUACUCUCUGAUAAGUGUUGCAGUGGGAGGUGAGAAAUCAGAGCUCCCAGCGGAGGAGGAGGAGGGAAAAAAAAGGCAAGCGCUGUCCUUUGUUAAGCAGGGUACAGUGCAGCCAGAGCAGCUGCCUGACAGCUCAUGGCAUGAGGGUCAGGGCAGGAGCAGCCUGUGCUCACAGCACCUGUUAUUGAAUGCUACCCGCAGGUACCAGGGCAGCACGGAGCAUCACUUUCUGACUUUUUCCAGUCAUGUGGGAAGGUAAGGGGGCUGUGAGAUGAAAGGAGAUGAUGAAACAGCUGAUGAGGUCUGCCCUCGGUGAGAUGCAGUAAUACCAAUGCAGGAGGGCUCAUAUCCC